UUAAUUAAAAAGGAAUUAGCUGGAGAAAAGGCCAUCGCGCUUACAGUCGAAAAUAUACUGCGUUUGGCACUAGCUUAAAACAUGGAAGCUCCAAGUACUUACUAUGAGUAGCGGAAAUUGUGACUUGGCGAAACGAGUAACAAAUGUUUAUAACUAUGUAUUGUAAAAAUAAUAUUUUAUGAGUACGAAGAUUAGUCUAAAUGAAUCGAAACUUUUUGAGGUAAUUAGUAAUUCGAUUGUAGUUAAGGUAUUUUAUCUGAGAAACCGGCUUUCUAACGUUUUACAGCCACAGAUCACUUAGACAACUGUUCUGAUUAAAAUAUAACUUUUCCACGAAAGCUGAUUAUCACUUAGACCAUAGCUAAAAAAUCCUAAGGCUCUAAUUGCAUACUUAAUAGCCAGCGUAUAUGUCACGAAGUAUGAUCUUAAAUUAUAAAUCCAAUUCAACACACUUCCGUGAAAGCCAAAGCAAGGGAGACCUGUAAUCUUGUUUCUGUUUAAUAAAAGAAAGCGGUAAAGAAUUUUUUCUAAAAACAUUAAACCAAUUUCUUACAAUGUUCGUUCUACAGUGUCUUCUCAUUUUAAUUUUGACUGAAUGCUUUUUCGUCGCACUAAAUAAAAGUCUACGAGAUGAAAUGAUUGUAUCAAUUAAAUACUUUAUAGCAAACAGUAAGUCAACACUGUGAAAUUCCAUUCAGACUACCGCAUUUCAUUUUUAUUUUUUCACAAACAGUUGUGGGGACAAAUGGUUUUAUUUUUUUAAGAAAUAGAGAGUAAAAUAUCUUUCAUCAAAUUUAUAGAUAGAGAUUCAUCGUAUUUGUCUCUCGAAUCUAGACAUUUAACGCACAUUUUAGCAGAAAAUUUUUAUCGACUCAAA